rnacentral:rRNA from 1 species
CCCUACGGGGCGCAGCAGGCGCGAAAACUUUACAAUGCUGGAAACAGCGAUAAGGGGACCUCGAGUGCCAGGUUACAAAUCUGGCUGUCGUGAUGCCUAAAAAGCAUUGCAUAGCAAGGGCCGGGCAAGACCGGUGCCAGCCGCCGCGGUAAUACCGGCGGCUCGAGUGGUGGCCACUAUUACUGGGCUUAAAGCGUUCGUAGCUGGUUUGUUAAGUCUCUGGGGAAAUCUUCCGGCUUAACCGGAAGGCGUCUCAGGGAUACUGGCAGACUAGGGACCGGGAGAGGUGAGAGGUACUCCAGGGGUAGGAGUGAAAUCCUGUAAUCC